rnacentral:lncRNA from 1 species
UUUUCUUUCUCAACAUUCUCUUCCUUCUAAUACUGCAAACUCAUUCAUUUAUCAUCUUCCAGAUCAGGCAUUCACUUGAAUCAAUUCAUUUCAUCCCGCGGAAGGAAGGACGAUUUCUGUUCGUGUGAGUUCUUAAUUGCUUAAACUUAAUUUAAACUCAUAUAUUCUAGUAUUUGCGAACAUUUCUAUCUUCGUCACUUUCAUACUUCUGAACAUUUAAUUAGUGAUCGUUAUUGUUUCCGAUGGGAAUUUUAUGAAUGAUAUUCUGGAAUUUGUCUUUAUUUCUUAAGCAUUUAACUUUAACUUUCUGAAUGAUUGAUAAAUUAUAUAUAUAUAUAUAGGUAAAAAUGGAGGUCCCAGAUAGUAGAGUGAAUUCACUUUACGAUCGUAGAGUGAAUUCACAAAUCGUAGAGUGACUACUCUACGAUCGUAGAGUCUACGAUCGUAGACCGUGUAACUUUUAAAGUUNNNNNNNNNNNNNNNNNNNNNNNNNNNNNNNNNNNNNNNNNNNNNNNNNNNNNNNNNNNNNNNNNNNNNNNNNNNNNNNNNNNNNNNNNNNNNNNNNNNNGCAUCAUGCUCGAAGAUUGUUUGAUAUUUGCAAGAAUAGAUUAGCUUUUUCUCCGACUUGAUACAGUUUCUGUAAUGAGUGUUUCUCUUACCUAAAAAAGACUUUUAAGAUAUAAAGAGCAUACAGAAAUUCACAUUGAUGCUCGCAUAGUUGAGCAAGAACUUCAUAAGAAUGUCAAUAGACUCAAUACUACUAGGGGUUGGGGCAUGAGAGUUCUGGUUCUAUAGCUAGCUCGUAGUUCCAUGUUGCUUGGCUAUUUAUGAAAAGGUUGAUAUAAGGUGAUAUAUACCUUUACAUACAAGAGUUAGUCAAACUUCAAAAUUGUAUUACAACUUCAAUAAGAUUUGGCACUUUUACCUCCUCUGAAAGUUCAAUUUUGCCAUGGAAUAUGCAAAGGCAGAUGCAAAUACUAAUGGAAAAGCAAUAAGAAUUACUGCUACAAAACCUAUAUAUUCACGACGAUAACCAAAAUAACUGCCUAAGAAAGCAUUGAUUGCUUUUUCUUCUCCAAAUGCUAGUAUUUGCUUGUCCAUAUGUCCGUAUUGAGAUGUAAUAAGGCCUCUCAAGGACCAGGCUGGUGGGCAAAUCCAGUAACACCAACUCCACCAUCUUGGAAUUCUCUGUAAGAAAUCAAAAGAGAGUAGUUUGUGUCAGUGGAACUGAAAAUUUAGUUGAUAUAUGUUGGAACAAAUUCAUAUUUUCUUUUUGACAAGUACAAGCAGAUAUAUUUAUCAAUAUUGAAAUGCAAAAUGUUGUUUUCUCAGUAGAAACAUAUGUGAACCUAGGAAAACGUGGUUCAUUGGUGUGUCCCAACCUGAAAAGUGGUGUUAUGGUUUGUUGAUUUCCUGUGUAACAGAUAACAUUGUGCAAGUGCAAACUACUGAUUGCAAUUGUAGUUUUCAGGGUUAAGAGAAUCAGACUUGACUUACUGGUUCAGGUAUGAGGAAUCCCGAGAAAAGACUUAUCAUGGUGUAGCAGAAGCUUGCCAUUACAGAAGCCAUUUGGAGGGAUGAGGUCAUGGAAACGAGCAACAUGCCAAGGUAAGUGAAGUAGAGCAUCGUACAGAACAUUGUGUAGAAGUAAAAAAAUACUCUAUCUACAGACCAGUAGAAACCUAUUGCUGGAUAUGUGAUUAUCAGAAAUAAAACUGCUUGAAGGAAUAUAUACGGAAUUUCAAUGAUCACCUGUAACGUUGAAAAAUAAUAUUAUAUGCAAUUCAAAAAACUUAACUAUCUUUUGACUUUUAACUUUGAGAACAGUCUGUACGCUUGUGAAUAUUUCUGCACCUGUGCAAAAGAAUAAGCCCACGAGGAGUACAUUCCAGCAAACCUCUCUCUGUAUAAAAUGGUGCGCUCAGUAGAUAUAAUUGAUAGAACAGAUGAGCAGUUGCUUAUACCCAAAAAUUGUAGAAAGAUGAACAUUGAUCCUAGUAUGUUCAGCAAAUCCUGUUCGCUAUUUCUGGAAGCAAAGAAUCACAAUUAUCAUUUUAGGUGUUGAACUUAAAGNNNNNNNNNNNNNNNNNNNNNNNNNNNNNNNNNNNNNNNNNNNNNNNNNNNNNNNNNNNNNNNNNNNNNNNNNNNNNNNNNNNNNNNNNNNNNNNNNNNNGAUCCAUUUGUUGAUUCAUGCUGCUCUUUUAAGGCUACAGAAAAACUGAUUGCACUUCGUGCCAGCUGGUGACGAGGUGGUGCUUGGAUCAUCUCAGUUUUCUUGGAAGAUAAAUAAUUGUGUGUGCUAUGUGAUGUGACUAUAUGAAUAUACCCAGAAACCCUUCCCCACUCUCAGCAGUCACCACAUAAGUAUAUGAUAAAGCUUGCCCAAUAAGAAAAAGAAAAAGGAGAUGCUUACAUUUCUUUUCCUUUCCCCCAAAGAAUCGCUCCUAACAGCAAAGACGCCAUGGUGAUAAAUGUUAAGCGAGCCAAAUUAUAUUUAGGAUUCCUCCAAUAGGACAAGUUAUGCUUCCAGAGGCAUGCUUUAAACUGUUCCCAUCCAUUUUGCGAAAAGCAAGUAGAAAACUGUAGCUCCUUUGAAUCUUGUGGUGGAUAGCUCAGUUCUCUAGCUAGUUCCUUGGUUCUCCUACAUAAAUAAGAACGCGAAUACCUAAUUUAAUCCCUUCUUUUGGGUGGAAAACACCUUAUUUAAUAAUUUAUGUAAAAAACUGAUUAUACUGUUUAGCAAUCCGAACGGUUUCUGUCAUGUUCAUAGCAUUGACAUAGGUCUCAUAGUUGAUGUACUAUCAGUUAAUGUGGAAAUGUCAACAGUUUGGCAAUCUGGGAGAGUAUUCAUGUAUAAUUUUUAUGCUUACCGACAUAGAUGAGACUCUUUAUAUAAUUGGCCAAAGUCUAAACCAAGUCGUGCUUCUGCUGAUGAACUCGAAACCUCUAGCAUCCACGUUGCAGGGUUGUGAUUUUCCUGGAUUUUUGGCACUCCAGGAACAUUCUGCCAAUAAAAGAGAGACAAACUGUUGUUAAAUAGUUAAACUUUUAAUAUCCUUGCGUUAUUGCCUUCUUUUUUAUAACAAAUAAAAUAGGAACUGCGUUUUUAUGGCACCAAUAGAAUACAAUAUUAAAUCACAAACCGCCAUACAUAAUAUAUCCUUAUAGCCCAUACAUAAUAUAUUAUGUCUAAAAAGAGUUAAAAAAUACUAUAUAUACUGGUUGUAGCAGCAACUACUUCCAAACAGUACCGAGACACUCAACCAUCUGUGCACAUGGCUAAAAUGUUAUGAAAAUACGAGUUAAAACUUCUACUAAAGGUAGCCAGUACAAAUGUAAGAAGUGGUUAAAUAUUCCACUUAAUUUGAACAACAGUCAUAUCUCUUACCAUCUCACAAUAAUCUUAAAUAUAUUGAAAUCAACUUUCAUGGCAAGCAAAAAUACUCAAACAACAAUGCAGUUUUCUGGUAAGGGAAUGUUGCAAACUUGGGAAGCAGCUCAACAUCUUAUUGACAGUGAUAUUUACAUUAACAAGCAAAGACCUACUCAAUCAUCUGCUGCUUUGUUGCUUACCUCAAAAUAUUCAAUAAGUUUACUUGAAUGCUGACCCAACUCUCCAGAAUAUAUUAUUUGUCCUCCUCUCUUCAUUAGAAUUAGCUGCAGGAAACAUCAAAAGCUUUCCAAUUAUCCUAUUCUGAUCUGGAAAAGAAUAGAAAAUAAAAAAGAAAAAGGAGAAAACUGAAAUCUAUUUUCAAUAAUGGACUGGAGAAUCGAGUUACUUGACAUGUUGAGCUAAAGUGAAUUCAACCCAUGCAUUCUUCAUUUCAAUAUAAUUUAUGUAAUCACGCAUUUGGGGUGGUGGGGGCUGCUUUUCAAAACGUGCAAGUAGUAACUGCAACAUUAGAGGUUUGACUAUACACAUUUCCUUGCUCAUGGUAAACAUAAGUUGCUGGGGUAUGCAUGCUUAAUUGAAUACCUGUUUUUCUAUUCUUUUUUUGUUCUAUGAUCUUUUAUGGUCAAGUGUACUGUGUACAGCCAUGUUGAGCUCAUUCGUAAUUAUUUAGUUACAAGUUUAUUUAUCAUCUUAGAGAUGUAAAUAAAAAACUGUCAGCAUGUCAAAUUGCAAACUAUCUAUCAUUUUAUCUUUACAUGAAUUUUCAGGUUUUUAUUUGAUGGACUUAAUUACCUCAUCAAAUGACUCAAAUAUGUCAAUACUUGGCUGAUGAAUAGUGCACACAACCGUCCUUCUUGUAUUAACAAUAUUCUGUACUACUCUCAUGACAAUUGCAGCUGCUCUGGCAUCUAAACCAGAUGUUGGUUCAUCCAUAAAAAUUAUGGAUGGAUUUGAAACA